AAUACUAUUUAAGAUAAAAAGUACGUCAUAUCUACCACUUUCACCUAAUCACAUAUUAACCUAAUCAAAAUCUUAAUUAAUAUUGAUUAGAAUAUAUUAGUAAAAUUUUAUAUCAUAUAUAUAUGUAUGUAUGUAUGUAUUGACCCACUUUUUAAAAUUAGAUGUGGCAAAUGCGGGAUGAACUCCUACCACAUAAUCGCAUACGAGCUGUUCUAGAGGAAUUGGUGGGAUUCUUUCUUCACCACGUCAUACAUAUAGCCGAAGAAUACCAUGUGAAAAUUGAUAUAGACCUUAGAUGUUAAGGUUUGUAAGAGAUCUUAUAUUGUAUAUAUGUAGCUAGUAGAGUCGGACAGAUAUAUGAAAACUUGUUGUUCGACCAAUCUCAUGGAGAAAGAGAAGUCACUUCUCUCUGUAUAUGUUCAUGACGAUCUUGUGUAUUUAAUGGUUUCUUCAUUUGCUUACUGGCUAGUGUGUCGAGUUCUCUCUAUAUGUACAAUAACUAGCGUCACCCAAGCACGGAGAUAAAGAGAGGUCACUUCUCUCUAUUAGCUAGCUAACACAAUAUAUGAAACCCCUAAAUUAACCCUCCAAAACCCCUAACCCCCGUCCUUUAAAAACAAAAAAACCAUAUCUCCUACCAGCUGCUGACGCGUGGAGGUCUUUUGGUCCCGGUUGGUAUUACCAACCGGGACUAAAGGUCCUCCUACCUAGGCACUCCGCAGCGGCCAUAUGGAGCCCCUUCUGUCCUAGUUCACUCAUAAGCAAACCGAAACUUAAGGUUUUAGGCUUUAGUCCCGACCCUUUAGUUCCGGUUCCAGAACUGGAGCUAAAUGAUGUCUGAAACCGGGACAAAUGGGUCGUUUUCUAAAAGUGUCUGCAUUAAGGCAAAUGACCACACGGACUGAUCUCGACUACAUCAAGCCGAACUACACCGGGCCGAACCACGACAUUAAGCUGUACGACCAUAACAAACUACAAGUCAAGAUCAUCGCCGAGCACACUACGAGAAGCAAUAUCGACAUGCAUUGCCCACACACCAAGACGGUGUGGAACGGGAUGCAACCUUCAUCGACUUCUCGGGCGCGACACCACAUCGACACUUGGUUGCGGCGAGGGACGUCUUCAAGCGACACAUUAUCGUUGACACGCCGCUGCGACGCCAUCGCCUACACUUCAUCACUAAGGUCUUCAUCAACGUGGUCUUCACCAACAUCUUCGUCAACACACCGCCGCUGUCUUGUCCACAAGAUGGGCACCUAGCAUCCUCUGACAGACUUUUCUGCAAGACGCGACCAUGACGACGGCAAUGACCGCGUCACGAUGUCGGCAUCAACCGCGUCAUCCACGACAACACAACUGCAUCGACAGGGCGUCACUACAGUGACGACCGUACACGACCACACGGUUCUGGCAAAACCGAUAUGUGCUCGAUGGGCUUCCUCCGGUCUUCGCAAAAUCGGCGGACUCGUCGCCGACGGCACCCUCUGAUAUCUGCAAGGUGCAUCAUCCACGAUCCGCGUCGUCAGCAGCGUUCACGCCACUCCCGCUGUGACUGCGGGAGGGAAGAGGGGAGAGACAAGGAAGACACCAGAAGGGGACGCAGUCACCGCCCUACGUGCUGACCCAUCAGAAACGUAGUUGACGAUGGCGCAGCGAAGAAGACGACAAAAGCAGAAGACUUCAAAUUCAGUCGUACUCGUCCGCUUCACUCCCGCUACGACUUGAGGCGGAAUGUUAGAAUAUAAAUAUGCUUAGUUAGAGAUAAGGCGAGAGAUGGAGAUAGAAUAAGUUUUAAUAUACUAUGACUUGUCUUGUACUUCAAGUCACCACACGUUGUACUCUAUAUAUACCCCUACAAGGGUCAGAUCAAUAAUACAACACAAUAUCCAUUCAUCCUA